rnacentral:rRNA from 1 species
AGAUCUUUUGAUCAUGGCUCAGGAUGAACGCUGGCGGCGUGCUUAACACAUGCAAGUCGAACGAAGCGCUUUAAGGAAGUAGCUUGCUAUGGAAAGAAAGCGACUGAGUGGCGGACGGGUGAGUAACGCGUGGGUAACCUGCCUCACACAGGGGGAUAACAGCCGGAAACGGCUGCUAAAACCGCAUAAGCGCACGGUACCGCAUGGUACAGUGUGAAAAACUCCGGUGGUGUGAGAUGGACCCGCGUCUGAUUAGCUGGUUGGUGAGGUAACGGCCCACCAAGGCGACGAUCAGUAGCCGACCUGAGAGGGUGACCGGCCACAUUGGGACUGAGACACGGCCCAAACUCCUACGGGAGGCAGCAGUGGGGAAUAUUGCACAAUGGGCGAAAGCCUGAUGCAGCGACGCCGCGUGAGUGAAGAAGUAUUUCGGUAUGUAAAGCUCUAUCAGCAGGGAAGAAAAUGACGGUACCUGACUAAGAAGCCCCGGCUAACUACGUGCCAGCAGCCGCGGUAAUACGUAGGGGGCGAGCGUUAUCCGGAUUUACUGGGUGUAAAGGGAGUGUAGGUGGCAUAACAAGUCAGAAGUGAAAGCCCGAGGCUCAACCGCGGGACUGCUCUUGAAACUGUUAAGCUUGAGUGCAGGAGAGGUAAGCGGAAUUCCUAGUGUAGCGGUGAAAUGCGUAGAUAUUAGGAGGAACACCAGUGGCGAAGGCGGCUUACUGGACUGUAACUGACACUGAGGCUCGAAAGCGUGGGGAGCAAACAGGAUUAGAUACCCUGGUAGUCCACGCCGUAAA